GCCCGCCCUCGACCCGAGGGCUGCGCUGACGGGCGCGGUGACGGCUUUCUGCUCGGCCUGCCGCUGCCCUGCAACCCCCUGUGGGGGGCCGGGCUGUCCCCCGAGGUCGGUGCGGUAACGCGCUGUGCUCACCCGGUGCGCCGGCAUUAGUCUCUGUGAGCGCGGCCGUAAAGCGCCGCUUAUUUUUAGACCGAAAAUCGAAGACGCCCUUUGCUCAACAGUCGUCAUGCUGAUGCACGAGGAGAUAGGAGCAGGUGUUGAGGUCUUGAAAAUAAUGAUGUUGGCCACAUGGGGUGUCUCCUUACCUUGACCUCUACAGAGGGGACCAGGUGCAGAAAAUGGGAAAUAUGAUCGAAGAAGGAAGGGGAAAGUUCAGAAGAGUUCCUUUGGAGAUUUGUACUUCUGGCAGCUGUCAUAUGUCCAUUUUACCUUAUUGCUUCCAUUUGGAUUUUAAAACAUGCAAGAUGCAGCCCUGGAAGGGCAAGCAGAGGCAACAAGGAGGAGCUGAUUUCCAAACUGCCGAGAGUAUCUGAGAGACUCUUACAAAUCAAGAAUGCUGCUAUCCCUUUCAAUUCCCUACUUCAGUAUUGAUAAGCCAUAGAUAGAAUGGGUUUUGAUAUGUAUUGCAUAAAGAGCUGAAAGCAUUACCAGUUAGGUAAGUGUAAGCACACUCUAGAGUUAUACAUCAGUGCAUCUGGACAGGGUAGUCCACAAGACACAUUAGUAUGAACUAUUUUCCCUGUUUCAGUGUAGAGUGACAUUAAAGAUGGUAACUUGUUCAAAAGCUGCAGCUGAAUGUUACAGUAAAUAUAUGCUUCUCUCAUGAAACAAAAUCCAUUUUAAAUAAUGAGAUACACACUCUGGUAUCUGAUGAUCCACCCUCUCUGUGUACUAAGACAGACCAAAGCUACAUUCUUCCUGUCUAGGUAGUAUCAUUUCAGCUAUAUUCCACUGCUAGUUCUGAUGCAUCAAAUUUAAUGAUUAUAGCAAUCUGUUGGAGAUUUUUUAAAAAUACACUUUCUGCAUUUGAUGUUUCUGAUCACUACAGAAAGCUUCUGCUAUUUUAUAGUCUGCUGACUAAGCUCAUCUGUGCACCAGCUGCAUUUUAUCAAGGCACAAUGUUUGCCUUUUGAACUAGCUGAUAUAUUUUACUUUAAAUGAAGAUGAGAUAUACAUUCUUUGGCAACAUUUAGAACCUUGUUCAGCACAAUAUCCAUUUGCAAAAAGUCAUAGCCUCCAACUAAAUGGUACACCAAGCCAUGGCCAUCAGCCCAAAAGAGGCAGGGGGUAAAAAAUCCUAGAACCAGAAAAAGACGCCAAGUUUAUCUGAUGGAUAACCAAACCAGGAUCACUCUUUGUCAU